ACACCCUCAAGCCUUGCUUGGUGUUGGGCGUCUGUCCCGCCUCUGUGCGUGGACUCGCCUCAAAGCGAUUGGCGGCUGGUACCACGGCCUGGAGUGCAGCAGAAUUGCGCUUCUUGUCUCGGGGUCUGGUUCCCAUAAGCGAACUUUUUUCACUU
rnacentral:misc_RNA from 1 species